rnacentral:lncRNA from 1 species
ACUCUCACGGAGGCGGGGCCCAAAGUCGCUGGAGUUUUGCUCCCGGGACGGGACGUCCGAGAGGUGAGAGGCUGACGUCGAGGUGACGCGCCAACUUAAUCGCAUCUGACGUCACGUCUGGUCGUCUUGGAUCGCUGGCUGCGAUUGGCCAGGCUUGCCUGGGGGAUCCCCUGCUAAUUGGGUGUCCAGGUUGCCUGUUCUGACUACCUGGAGUCUGAGCCCCGGCGCUGUGGGGGGUAGUAGUGGAGAGUCGGGAGAGUAGGGGAGAGCCUCUUCCUACGCUGGUGGUCCUCAGAGAGGAGGACCCCCGCCUCACAUGUGUGGCCAAGUAAGGACUUCAUUCCCCCGACGGCUGCAGAAGCUUGUGGAGCUGAGUGUGUGCGUGUGAGGGAAGACGCAGUAGGUGGAGUCACUGGAGAGCUUCUCCUCAAAACUCAGUUUAGCGCUGUUGUGGAGCAGAUGGAAUGGAGGAGGACCUUUUUCUUCGUCCUUUCGCCUUAAACUUGACAUUAGAGAGUCGACCCUGGGCUUUCGGAGUUGUACUGGAUUGUGUGGAGCAUCUUAAGUUCCACACCAAGCCUAAGGCUGAAACGCCUUUGGUGGGCGUAGUAUUAUAGAGAAUUGAACUUCAAGGUCUUGCCCACGCCAUGCCCGCUUGUGAUCCCAGAGGAACAUAUUCCGUUCCACGGGGGUUCGCCAGAGGGGCAGGGUUGUGCCUUUGUAUAGGACGUGGAGAGGCACUCUUGGUUGGCGUGGUAUCUCCUUUCAAAGGACCGUAGAAGAGUAGAACUGGCCUUGACCUAAAUUAAAAGAGACAUCGCCACUCUCGUUCUCCGGCUCUGUUUGAGCGCUGUUGGGGCUGGAGGUCAGCAGCAGUAGCUGAGUGAGGACCAGGAGGAGGACGGUGAGGGGUCCCAAAGUUCCAGGGCAGCUGAGAACCCCUACCAGCGAGGCAGGGAAGUGGGCAGUGAGAAUUGUCUCUAGAAUGCAGCAAACCAUGAGCUUGGCAGUUUGAAGUGCACUAAAGCAAUGAGGAGCAAGGGUAAAGGACAUAGCUUCUCAUUGUUCUACUGCUUGGAGCAGCUUUUCAGUCAGUAACCUGACCAAGACAAUUGAUGUGAGCUCAAGAACAAAGGUGUGGUUGAAGUCUUUGGAGAAGGACUGAGGUGUUAUCUAAAAAUGAAGCUUGUAGAUGUUGAUAUUUUUAUAAGAAUCAAAUACCCUGCCCCAAGUGGAACUCAUCCCCCCAGCAAGGGAUUUUAUCUGUUUAAAUAUUUAGACGAGCAUUCUGUUGAAUCCCUAAUUUUUAUAUUACAUGGAGAGAAGACAAAUUCCAUUGAUAAGGCUAUUUCAUUCAAUAGUUACCUGCUUCUACUAUAAAACUUUAAUAUGGAUCGUGUACAGUGUUUUGAUUUGAGCUGGUCU